rnacentral:tRNA from 1 species
AGCAAUUUGAUUUAAUUGGUUAAGAGCUUGGCUGCUAACCAAAAGGUUGGCAGUUCGGAUCUACCAGCUGCUC